AACGAACGCUGGCGGCGUGCCUAAUACAUGCAAGUCGAGCGAAUGGAUUGAGAGCUUGCUCUUAUGAAGUUAGCGGCGGACGGGUGAGUAACACGUGGGUAACCUGCCCAUAAGACUGGGAUAACUCCGGGAAACCGGGGCUAAUACCGGAUAACAUUUUGAACCGCAUGGUUCGAAAUUGAAAGGCGGCUUCGGCUGUCACUUAUGGAUGGACCCGCGUCGCAUUAGCUAGUUGGUGAGGUAACGGCUCACCAAGGCAACGAUGCGUAGCCGACCUGAGAGGGUGAUCGGCCACCCGGGGACUGAGACACGGCCCAGACUCCUACGGGAGGCAGCAGUAGGGAAUCUUCCGCAAUGGACGAAAGUCUGACGGAGCAACGCCGCGUGAGUGAUUAAGGCUUUCGGGUCGUAAAACUCUGUUGUUAGGGAAGAACAAGUGCUAGUUGAAUAAGCUGGCACCUUGACGGUACCUAACCAGAAAGCCACGGCUAACUACGUGCCAGCCGCCGCCGUAA
rnacentral:rRNA from 1 species